rnacentral:lncRNA from 1 species
GUACUGACCCACUAAGGCCCCUUGUACUGUUAAUGUGAAUAUUUGCAAUUAUAUAUGUCUCCUUCUGGUAGAGUGGGAUAUUAUGCCCUAGUAUCCCCUUUGCAUUACUGCAGGGGCUGCUGACUACUCAAAACUUCUCCUGGGACUGUUAAUAGGCACAAUGGCAGUUAUCAAUGGUUUUCUCCCUCCCUGACCUUGUUAAGCAAGCGCCCCACCCCACCCUUAGUUUCCCAUGGCAUAAUAAAGUAUAAGCAUUGGAGUAUUCCAUGCACUUGUCUAUCAAACAGUGGUCCAUACUCCCAACCCUUUUGCAUUGCGCCAGUGUGUAAAAUCACAGGUAGCCAUGGUGUCAUGCUUUAUAUACGAAGUCUUCCCUCUCUCUGCCCCUUGUGUGCCCUUGGCCCCUUUUUACAGACUAUUGCUCACAAUCUCAGGUGUCCAUAUUUGCAGCUAUUAGGUAAGAUUGUGCUGUCUCCCUCUUCCCUUCCCUCUGCCCUGCCCCUUUUGCCUCUUUGCUGGGUAAUGUUGACCAGACAAGGCCCUUUCUCUUGGACUUAAACAAUUCUCAGUUGCACUUUCCUUGGUCCCACCCAUUAUACAUGAACCCCUCUACUUCCUUUCGCAUUGCUUCUGAGUAUGCUGACUACCCAAAGCCCCUUCUGUGUUAUUAAUAAACACAGUACUGAUUGUCCCAUUUUUCAGCCCAUCAGUCCAAGAUCUCCCUACCACUUUGGUGUGUUGGUGCAGUGUUGACUAUGAAAAGCAGGCCUGAACUAGGUGGAUAAGCCUUCACUCAUUUUCUUUCAUUUAUUAAUGAUCCUAGUUUCAAUUAUUGUCAGAUUCUGGGGACAAGAACCAUUCUUGCCCACCUGUGUUACUGCUUUACUGUGCAAAAUACUGAAGGCAAGUCAGACCCAGGGAGCUGGAUUGCCAUCCUUUAUUUUGUGUUUCCAGUGUACACUAUAAAAUUGUCUCCCCAGGAAGGAAGGUUGGCACUUUCUCUGCAUUCUUCUUUCCAGAGCAGAUUGCCUGGUUAAGAAUCUCUUGUUGUCCCCUUUGUAUAUUGUUAUUGUAAAGUGCCAAAUGCCAGGAUACAGCCAGAAAAAUUGCUUAUUAUUAUUAAAAAAAUUUUUUUAAGAAAGACAUCUGGAUUGUAGGGUGGACUCGAUAACCUGGUCAUUAUUUUUUUGAAGCCAAAAUAUCCAUUUAUACUAUGUACCUGGUGACCAGUGUCUCUCAUUUUAACUGAGGGUGGUGGGUCUGUGGAUAGAACACUGACUCUUGCUAUUUUAAUAUCAAAGAUAUUCUAGAGUGGAACUCUUAAGACCAGUAUCUUUGUGUGGGCUUUACCAGCAUUCACUUUUAGAAAAACUACCUAAAUUUUAUAAUCCUUUAAUUUCUUCAUCUGGAGCACCUGCCCCUACUUAUUUCAAGAAGAUUGCAGUAAAACGAUUAAAUGAGGGAACAUAUGCAGAGGUGCUUUUAAAAAGCAUAUGCCACCUUUUUUAUUAAUUAUUAUAUAAAAUGAAGCAUUUAAUUAUAGUAAUAAUUUGAAGUAGUUUGAAGUACCACACUGAGGUGAGGACUUAAAAAUGAUAAGACGAGUUCCCUAUUUUAUAAGAAAAAUAAGCCAAAAUUAAAUAUUCUUUUGGAUAUAAAUUUCAACAGUGAGAUAGCUGCCUAGUGGAAAUGAAUAAUAUCCCAGCCACUAGUGUACAGGGUGUUUUGUGGCACAGGAUUAUGUAAUAUGGAACUGCUCAAGCAAAUAACUAGUCAUCACAACAGCAGUUCUUUGUAAUAACUGAAAAAGAAUAUUGUUUCUCGGAGAAGGAUGUCAAAAGAUCGGCCCAGCUCAGGGAGCAGUUUGCCCUACUAGCUCCUCGGACAGCUGUAAAGAAGAGUCUCUGGCUCUUUAGAAUACUGAUCCCAUUGAAGAUACCACGCUGCAUGUGUCCUUAGUAGUCAUGUCUCCUUAGGCUCCUCUUGGACAUUCUGAGCAUGUGAGACCUGAGGACUGCAAACAGCUAUAAGAGGCUCCAAAUUAAUCAUAUCUUUCCCUUUGAGAAUCUGGCCAAGCUCCAGCUAAUCUACUUGGAUGGGUUGCCAGCUAUCUGGAGAAAAAGGUGGAGAUGGGGCAUGAGGAUCCUCCAGGGGAAAAGCUCACUACCACUGGGCAACAACCCUAGGUCAGGAGGUUCUGUCAAGAUACUUUCCUGGUCCCAGAUAGGAAGAUAAAGUCUCAAAAACAACCACCACACGUCAAGCUCUUCAUUGUUCCUAUCUGCCAAAUCAUUAUACUUCCUACAAGCAGUGCAGAGAGCUGAGUCUUCAGCAGGUCCAAGAAAUUUGAACACACUGAAGGAAGUCAGCCUUCCCACCUGAAGAUCAACAUGCCUGGCACUCUAGCACUUGAGGAUAGCUGAAUGAAUGUGUAUUUCUUUGUCUCUUUCUUUCUUGUCUUUGCUCUUUGUUCUCUAUCUAAAGUGUGUCUUACCCAUUUCCAUGUUUCUCUUGCUAAUUUCUUUCGUGUGUGCCUUUGCCUCAUUUUCUCUUUUUGUUCACAAGAGUGGUCUGUGUCUUGUCUUAGACAUAUCUCUCAUUUUUCAUUUUGUUGCUAUUUCUCUUUGCUCUCCUAGAUGUGGCUCUUCUUUCACGCUUUAUUUCAUGUCUCCUUUUUGGGUCACAUGCUGUGUGCUUUUUGUCCUUUUCUUGUUCUGUCUACCUCUCCUUUCUCUGCCUACCUCUCUUUUCUCUUUGUGAACUGUGAUUAUUUGUUACCCCUUCCCCUUCUCGUUCGUUUUAAAUUUCACCUUUUUUCUGAGUCUGGCCUCCUUUCUGCUGUUUCUACUUUUUAUCUCACAUUUCUCAUUUCUGCAUUUCCUUUCUGCCUCUCUUGGGCUAUUCUCUCUCUCCUCCCCUGCGUGCCUCAGCAUCUCUUGCUGUUUGUGAUUUUCUAUUUCAGUAUUAAUCUCUGUUGGCUUGUAUUUGUUCUCUGCUUCUUCCCUUUCUACUCACCUUUGAGUAUUUCAGCCUCUUCAUGAAUCUAUCUCCCUCUCUUUGAUUUCAUGUAAUCUCUCCUUAAAUAUUUCUUUGCAUAUGUGGGCAAGUGUACGUGUGUGUGUGUCAUGUGUGGCAGAGGGGCUUCCUAACCCCUGCCUGAUAGGUGCAGAACGUCGGCUAUCAGAGCAAGCAUUGUGGAGCGGUUCCUUAUGCCAGGCUGCCAUGUGAGAUGAUCCAAGACCAAAACAAGGCCCUAGACUGCAGUAAAACCCAGAACUCAAGUAGGGCAGAAGGUGGAAGGCUCAUAUGGAUAGAAGGCCCAAAGUAUAAGACAGAUGGUUUGAGACUUGAGACCCGAGGACUAAGAUGGAAAGCCCAUGUUCCAAGAUAGAUAGAAGCCUCAGGCCUGAAACCAACAAAAGCCUCAAGAGCCAAGAAAACAGAGGGUGGCCUGAAUUGGACCGAAGGCCUGAGUUGGAUGGAAGUCUCAAGGCUUGAGUUAGAAGUCUUAAGACCUGGGACAGGACACAUGGAAGGCCUAAGAACUGAGACUUGUGACACAAGGCCAACGACCUAAGAUUAGCCCAGGGUUGUAGCUGGAAGACCUACAACCCAAGGAUGGAAGGCCCCUGUCACAAAGCCUACCUAGAUGGAUAGAGGACCCAAGCGAAAAAGGAGCAGACAUUCAUAUAGGUGAUACUGUAUUUCAGUCCUUUCUUUUGACCCCAGAAGCCCUAGACUGAGAAGAUAAAAUGGUCAGGUUGUUGGGGAAAAAAAAGUGCCAGGCUCUCUAGAGAAAAAUGUGAAGAGAUGCUCCAGGCCAAUGAGAAGAAUUAGACAAGAAAUACACAGAUGUGCCAGACUUCUGAGAAGCACCUGCCAGCAACAGCUUCCUUCUUUGAGCUUAGUUUCUGGCAUCACUACCACUACUGAUUAAACAAGAAUAAGAGAACAUUUUAUCAUCAUCUGCUUUAUUCACAUAAAUGAAGUUGUGAUGAAUAAAUCUGCUUUUAUGCAGACACAAGGAAUUAAGUGGCUUCGUCAUUGUCCUUCUACCUCAAAGAUAAUUUAUUCCAAAAGCUAAGAUAAAUGGAAGACUCUUGAACUUGUGAACUGAUGUGAAAUGCAGAAUCUCUUUUGAGUCUUUGCUGUUUGGAAGAUUGAAAAAUAUUGUUCAGCAUGGGUGACCACCAGAAAGUAAUCUUAAGCCAUCUAGAUGUCACAAUUGAAACAAACUGGGGAGUUGGUUGCUAUUGUAAAAUAAAAUAUACUGUUUUGAAAACUUUGUAUUUUGAUGUGACAAUUUCUAACUCACUGUCCCUAA